rnacentral:rRNA from 1 species
UACGGGGGGGGCAAGCGUUGUUCGGAAUUACUGGGCGUAAAGGGCCAGUAGGCGGCCAACUAAGUCCGACGUGAAAUCCCAAGGCUUAACCUUGGAACUGCGUCGGAUACUGGAUGGCUUGAAUUCGGGAGAGGGAUGCAGAAUUCCAGGUGUAGCGGUGAAAUGCGUAGAUAUCUGGAAGAAUACCGGUGGCGAAGGCGGCAUCCUGGACCGACAUUGACGCUGAACGGCGAAAGCUAGGGGAGCAAACGGG